rnacentral:tRNA from 1 species
UCUAAUAUGGCAGAACAAUGCAUUAAGUUUAAGCCUUAAAAAUAAAGAUUUAUCUUUUUUUAGAA